AUUGAACGCUGGCGGCAUGCCUAACACAUGCAAGUCGAACGGCAGCACAGUCUAGCUUGCUAGACGGGUGGCGAGUGGCGAACGGGUGAGUAACGCGUAGGAAUAUACCUUGAAGUGGGGGACAACCUGGGGAAACUCAGGCUAAUACCGCGUAAUCUCUUCGGAGGGAAGCUGGGGACCGCAAGGCCUGGCGCUUUAAGAUUAGCCUGCGUCCGAUUAGCUAGUUGGUGGGGUAAGGGCCUACCAGGGCGACGAUCGGUAGCUGGUCUGAGAGGAUGAUCAGCCACACUGGGACUGAGACACGGCCCAGACUCCUACGGGAGGCAGCAGUGGGGAAUAUUGGACAAUGGGGGGAACCCUGAUCCAGCAAUGCCGCGUGUGUGAAGAAGGCCUGAGGGUUGUAAAGCACUUUCGGCGGGGAGGAGGAUGAGUUGGUUAAGAGCUGACUUAUUGGACGUUACCCGCAUAAGAAGCACCGGCUAACUCCGUGCCAGCAGCCGCGGUAACAC
rnacentral:rRNA from 1 species